rnacentral:rRNA from 1 species
UAGGGAAUCUUCCGCAAUGGACGCAAGUCUGACGGAGCAACGCCGCGUGAGUGAAGAAGGAUUUCGGUUCGUAAAACUCUGUUGUUAGAGAAGAACAGCGCAUAGAGUAACUGUUAUGCGUGUGACGGUAUCUAACCAGAAAGCCACGGCUAACUACGUGCCAGCAGCCGCGGUAAUACGUAGGUCCCGAGCGUUGUCCGGAUUUAUUGGGCGUAAAGCGAGCGCAGGCGGUUAGAUAAGUCUGAAGUUAAAGGCAGUGGCUCAACCAUUGUAGGCUUUGGAAACUGUUUAACUUGAGUGCAGAAGAGGGGAGUGGAAUUCCAUGUGUAGCGGUGAAAUGCGUAGAUAUAUGGAGGAACACCAGUGGCGAAGGCGACUCUCUGGUCUGUAACUGACGCUGAGGCUCGAAAGCGUGGGUAGCAAACAGG